UGCGAGGGGAUGCCCAUGAAUGUUUUUU
rnacentral:piRNA from 1 species